AGAGUCUCUGGAAGGAACUCCAGGAGACAGUGUGGUCUCCACAGCGUGAGGCAGCCAGGGAGAUGCAAACAGGUCUGCUGUAGAUGCUGGCGAUGAGACCGCCUCUUCCCAGCCAGGGCCUGCUGGAUAAGAGUGGCAUUUCUGUGGGUGACUUUAUCCCUCAGGAUCUGAGGCAUGCAGAUUUAUUGGCUGGCAUCCUUCUUACAGUUUCUCCUCAGCACACACUCAAGAGAGGCCAUCUGUCCCUCGAGAGGCUGUUGACCGAAAGAGGCUGAAGAGAGAUGUGGAGCCCACCUACAGUGGGGCCAGCCUUGGGCCUGAUGAGAGCUUGGCCCAGAGCCCCCACGUUCAUCAUUCACAAUGAUGCCUCAGAAACUCUCCCAGAGCCCCUUCACCCUCCAACAGAUGUCACCCCGGAGCCAGCCGUGGAAGAUGUGCAGGAUGAACACAGCAACACCGGCCCCAGGUCCCUCAGCGGGGUCAUCCUGUCAGCGCUGGGGCCUAAGAACUCCUGGACUCGCUGCACUCCUACUGCUUCUGGUCCCGGGGGAACAGGAGCACGGGUGCCGCCUGCAGGAGCAGGUGGAGAAGGACAGCGAGCUGAAGAGGGGCAGCUGCCGACAGCCAGGUGCACACGCUGCAGGAGGAGCUGGACGAGCUGAAGGGAGGGGCUCCCUAACUGAGCAGCCUGCUGCCCCCAGCCGAGUUUGGUGGCAGCAGUGGGAUCCAAAGGAGACACCUGAUGGCUUCGAGGAUGAGAAACACAGUCAUUGGUACCCUCAAAACCUUUGAGUUCUCCAUCUUUUUCACUGUUUCUGAGGGCUGUGGCGUCAGCUGCAGAGCUCCAGCCAGCGGCAGAAGCAAAGCAGUGGG